rnacentral:sRNA from 1 species
AGUCCAUGCCCUGGCAGCUGGAAGCGCGACGUCCUGUCGCACCAGCUGCAUGACCCACAUCCUGUGGG